GACGAACGCUGGCGGCGUGCCUAAUACAUGCAAGUAGAACGCAGUUUCGCACGGGUGAGUACCGCGUAGGUGACUUCCUCAUAGCGGGGGAUAACUAUUGGAAACACUAGCUAAUACCGCAUACUUUGAGCUGGACCUGCGUUGUAUUAGGUAGUUGGUGAGGUAAAAGGUCACCAAGGCGACGAUACAUAGCCGACCUGAGAGGGUGGUCCGGCAAACUGGGACUGGGGAAAGGGCCCGAAUCCUACCGGGAGCAACAGGAGGGAAUUCUUGGGAAUGGACGGAAGGCUGAACGAACAACGCCGCGGGAGGGGAGAAGGGUUUCGGAUUGUAAAGCUAUGUUGGUAGAGAAGCGGUAACUAACCAGAAAGGGACGGCUAACUACGUGCCAGCAGCCGCGGUAAUUC
rnacentral:rRNA from 1 species